GACGCACCGUGCGAACGUUAUUCGGAAUCACUGGGCUUAAAGGGCGCGUAGGCGGGCCACCAAGUCAGGGGUGAAAUCCCACGGCUCAACCGUGGAAGUGCCUUUGAUACUGGUGGCCUCGAGGGAGGCAGGGGCGUGCGGAACUUUGGGUGGAGCGGUGAAAUGCGUAGAUAUCCAAAGGAACACCGGUGGCGAAAGCGGCGCGCUGGACCUCUUCUGACGCUGAGGCGCGAAAGCCAGGGGAGCAAACGGG
rnacentral:rRNA from 1 species